AAAAAGAAUGGAAAGAUGUAUACUAGUCUGAUAGAUAAUACGAGGACCUCUGGUUUUUCAAAACUGUUGGAUCAACAAGUUAUUAUAAACAGAUAAAUUGAAAUGGUUUGCUUGUCGAUUAACUUGAAGAAACCGGGUUUUAAACAAGAAAGUUGUGUGUCUUUUUGAUGGAUUAUUUACAUACCCGCUAUUUUGUACUUGGAAAGCGCACCGAAAGGUAAAUAUUAUCAUGCAAAUAUUUAAGAAGAUGCUAGUGGUAUACUUUUCACGAAAAAACAUUUGAAUUUAUAAAUUUCAUCGCAUGCAAACCCGAAAAUCAGUCUGACAAAGAUCAGAAGAUUGGCAAGAACGGACGCAAGUCAACUCGACCCACUGCCAAAACGGCCUACUUUUUUAAACAACACGUCUCCCUUUCUAAAAAUGUCCCACUCUUGUUAAGGGAGC
rnacentral:lncRNA from 1 species